UUCCGUUUUUCGGUUCUUGAACUUUGAGUUGCCUCUGCUGUUGAACUUGUCUGUGGAUGUCUCUAUAUCUUCGGUGGUUUCUGGUGUUGUUGUUGGUUUCGUGCGACGAAGGAAUGGCCGCCGCUCUCGUAAAGCCUGAUGACAAUAAGAUCUCACAGCUGUAUGUGCCAAUUAUCGGUAAAGGGAGAGAGAGAUGCAAGAACUGCUAGCUUGGACUAUAAGACCUUCGAUUACUUAAGAAGAGUUACUCUAUUUAAGAGGAAUACUAUUUAACAUUCCUAACAAUAUUUAUUAUUCAAACUGAAAUAUUAUAUAAUUAGAUCUUUUUAACGAUCACUUUAAAAUUCAAAUGAGCUUAUUAUAAACCUUCCUAAGAUAUCCCAAAAGCACUAAUUCCUUUCUGAGAUUUAACCCUAUAUAAAUUAAAGUGUAUUUACGAUAAGAUUGCUGGAUUUUAUAAUAAAUUAAAAUACA